UGCCAGCAGUGGCUGUGGCAUCCUGGAGCAGGAAGAUUUGGUGCAUUUCUAGUGCAGCAUAGGCCAGAGUGACGUUUCUGACAUUUGGGAUGCUACAGCACUGAUAGAAGUGGAUGAUAAAGCUGUGGCUUCAUUUAAACAGGCUCUAAAGAAUGAUGACAUUUGUGAAACCUCAGAUAAACCAAAAAGCAUGCCUAAUAGAAAACCUGCUAAGAAGCAUAAAGGCCAAAAAAAGAAUACUGUAACUUUCUUGAAGUAGUGGAAAGUUGGGGACAAAUGUCCUGCCAUUUGGUCAGAAGACAGCUGCAUUUACUCUGCUACCAUUGCUUCAGUUGAUAUGAAGAGAGAAAGCUGUGUUGUGAUUUACACUGGAUAUGGAAAUAGAGAGGAGCAAAUCUGUCUGAUCUACUUUCUUCAACCUCUGUAGCUAAUAAUAUAGGACAGAAUGCUCAAAAGAAUGAAAAUGAAAGUCAAGAUUCAAUGGAUGAAAGUGAGAACUCCAGGUCCUGGAAACAAACCAUUUAGCAUCAGGUCAGAAGCUACUCCAUGGAAUUCUGAGACCACGAAAGCCAGGUCAGGUCUCAAAUUCAGUAGCCCACCACCCACACCACCCUGCUUCCCCUCAUGCUUGCUGCCUCCAUUUCCUUCUGGACCACCAAAAAUUCCCCCACCACCUCCCACAGGUCUAGAUUUUCUUGAUGAUGUUAAUGUUUUAUGAAGUAUGCUAAUCUCUUGGUACAUUAAGUGGCUAUCAUACUGGCUAUUAUACAGGGCUCAAGCAAAAUUAAAAAGAGGGAGAGUGCUCACGUUCCAAUUAAUGAGAGAUGCUAGGGAUAGAGCAACAAGUUAAAUGACACCACUAAAGAAACGAUCAGACAGAUCCAGAAUAUAGAAUGUUAUAGAAGAUAACUGGC
rnacentral:lncRNA from 10 species